UAGCGAGCUAACUUCCGCUAACUUCCUGCUAACUUCUAACUCCGUUAAAUGUAAUGAAUUCUGUUUUCAUGGAUGCGUGGACGUUAAACUAAAUAGUUACACCUGGUAAAGUAGCAAUGCUGAUCAUUUCAUUAAAGGUGAAAGAAUUUAGACAGUUUUAAACUCUCAGUGAUGUUCUUUUGACUUCGGGACUUUAAGUGACGGAGUUUAGGACCCAGAUUACUCCCAGAUUUACAAGCACCUUAGUCCGACAAAUACGGCAAUUACGACGGCCCGCUUGCAUGUUCUACAAAAAAAAGUGCUCUUUUGUGUAUCUGACGGACAAACACCAAACCAGUUAAGCUGCACCAUUUUUACAAAACAAUUCUGGCUCAUCCUUUUCACUCAACAAUCUACUUUCCCCAUUCACAUUCUCCGUUACCGUGCAUUCUCCGCUUUUUCAGCACUGCGCAUGCGUGUUUUACCCAUAUUCUAUUGCGAUAUGUCAUUUUCUUAUCGUUGCCUAGAUUUCUACCGGUAUUAUCGUGAACGGUAUAAUAUGGCCCAGCCCUAAUUUUCAGCCAUCUGGACUCAGCUGAGUCACUACAGAGGAAACAAUGAGCUCAACACAGAAGGACCAACAUGGAGCGAAAAGUCAGCGCUCUCAGGAGGCCGACAAACCUAACAGAAGAAAUGGAGAGAAAAAACACACCUGUGAUGAGUGUGGGAUGGGUUUUAUUGGGAAGAAUUCACUAAUACAGCAUCAGGUCAUCCACACUGGAGAGAGACCGUUCAGCUGUGACUUGUGCGGAAAGUCUUUUUCCUGGAAGGUUGCUCUAAAAACACACCAGGUCAUCCACAGUGGAGUUAAAGCGUAUAGCUGUGAUCAGUGUGGCAGAGCUUUUACUCACAGUAGCAGCUUACAGAAGCAUCUAGUUAGUCACUCUGGAAUUAAGGCAUACAGCUGUGACAUUUGUGGAAAAACUUUCAGCCUGAAACAGAACCGAAAUAUACACCUACGCAUUCACACCGGACAUGAUGUGUACAGCUGUGAUCAGUGUGGCAAACAGUUUAACCAACACGCAGUUACAACGCCACAUGUUUACCCACACUGAGGAGAGACCUUAUAAAUGUGACCUGUGUGAGAAGACUUUUAAAUCUCCACAUUACCUGAGACGACACCAACAGAUCCACACCAGAAAGAGACUCUCCAAGUGCAGUUACUGUGAGAAGCAGAGCGACACAGAUGGAUCCAGUUCUCAACCCUGUCAUCACCGUGGUGGUGGGAAAGAGUGUGCUGUGACCUUUGUGGAAAAUCUUUCAUUUAUCAAGAAAGCCUGAAAA